rfam:Candidatus Nanosalinarum sp. J07AB56 genomic scaffold scf_7180000039101, whole genome shotgun sequence.
GCGGAGGUAGCCAAGUGGUCAAAGGCGCAGCGUUCAGGGCGCUGUCCCGCAGGGGUUCGCAAGUUCGAAUCUUGCCCUCCGCA